GCGCUGAGCCUGCACCGGCACCGAAAUGGAAAGGCAACCGCCGGCGCCGAGGACUGCACCGCGUGCUCACGAGGCGGCCCGUACGGCCCACCCAGAGCGCGGACACAUACGCCCCAAGCCCACCUAAACUGGCCCGGAUCCUCUCUCCGUCUCCGUCCCCGACGCCGCCACGCCAGGCUCUGCUGCCCGCGGACCCUGACCGGAGCGGCAGUGACCACCAGCCAUCCGCCAACUCCGGCGAUAAACUCUCGCACAGAGACCGCCGCUUCCGUGGUUGCUGUCAUCAAUCUGCGGUGGGUUACUGGAGGCAGGUGCUCCUUCCCAUGGGAUUCUUCUGGGUGUGCCUCGUUGAAGCAUCUAUAGCAGUAUGCUUUGCCUAUCACCUUAAUGAUAGGAGCAUACGUUGGCGAUGCUGAAAGAGAAGGUGGUGGCAAGCUUCUCGCUGCCUCACCGAGCAUUGCCAUGGUAACCAGCACGGCUAAGACCAGGCAUAGCUGACCCUUUGGCUGGUGUCCAACGCUUACUUUCAUGGCUGGACAGUGCUUUCUCGAGUGAGAGGAGGAGAUGGGGGAAUGUGAAUGAUUUUGGCUUUGGUAUGGAUGAGUAUUUAUAAUGUUCAAGGUGGCACUUGGCAGGGUCUCUGGGGAAGCAGGUGGAGCUGGUAAGGUAGAAUGGUCAUUUGAGUGAUUAGAGCCUGUACUUCCCUAAAAAAAAUUAGAGCAUGUACUUUGUCAACCACUUGAUUUCAGGGGAGAAAUGUGGAAUUAGUUAUGAUUUA